rnacentral:rRNA from 1 species
UGAAUUUUCCUCAUAGCGGGGGAUAACCCUUGGAAAACAAGAUUAAUACCCCAUUGUAUCUAGGAACCCCAUCGUUUUUACAUUAAAGGUUCGGCGGUAUAAGAUGGAUAUGCGUUCUCAUAGUUUGUUGGUAAGGUAACGGCUUACCAAGACUGCGAUAGAUAGGGGUCUUGAGAGGGAGAUUCCCCACCAUGGUAAUGAGACACGGACCAGACUUCUACGGGAGGCAGCAGUGAGGAAUAUUGGACAAUGGAGGCAACUUUGAUCCAGCCAUGCCGGGUGGCAGAAGGAUGCCCUUUGGGUUGUAAAAUUCUUUUAUUCAGGAAGAAAAACCUCCAUGUGAGGGGAGAUGCCGGUACCAUAGGAAUAAGCACCGGCUAACUCCGUGCCAGCAGCCGCGGUAAUA